GACGAACGCGGCGGCGUGCUUAACACAUGCAAGUCGAACGAUGAAGCCUAGCUGCUAGGUGGAUUAGUGGCGAACGGGUGAGUAAUACGUGAGUAACCUACCUUUAACUCUGGGAUAAGCCCGGGAAACUGGGUCUAAUACCGGAUACGACCAAUCUCCGCAUGGGGUGUUGGUGGAUAGCGUUAUGUAGUGGUUAUAGAUGGGCUCACGGCCUAUCAGCUUGUUGGUGAGGUAACGGCUCACCAAGGCGACGACGGGUAGCCGGCCUGAGAGGGUGACCGGCCACACUGGGACUGAGACACGGCCCAGACUCCUACGGGAGGCAGCAGUGGGGAAUAUUGCACAAUGGGCGCAAGCCUGAUGCAGCGACGCCGCGUGAGGGAUGACGGCCUUCGGGUUGUAAACCUCUGUUAGCAGGGAAGAAGAGAGAUUGACGGUACCUGCAGAGAAAGCGCCGGCUAACUACGUGCCAGCAGCCGCGGUAAUACGUAGGGCGCGAGCGUUGUCCGGAAUUAUUGGGCGUAAAGAGCUUGUAGGCGGUUUGUCGCGUCUGCUGUGAAAGGCCGGGGCUUAACUCCGUGUAUUGCAGUGGGUACGGGCAGACUAGAGUGCAGUAGGGGAGACUGGAAUUCCUGGUGUAGCGGUGGAAUGCGCAGAUAUCAGGAGGAACACCGAUGGCGAAGGCAGGUCUCUGGGCUGUAACUGACGCUGAGAAGCGAAAGCAUGGGGAGCGAACAGG
rnacentral:rRNA from 1 species